ACAUGAUCAAUACUGAGACACUUGGUUUCCUAAUAGUCUCUCUCUCACCUUCUUUGGAAGGGGUUCCUCAUUCGUCAUGCUGAACUCUGAAAGGAAAGUGAAAGCAGUAGCAAUUAAUUCAGUGGAAGCUUCAAAAGCAAGACGUUCGGUUCAAUAAUGAUACUUGAGUUCGAAUGAACUGCUAGUUACAGCAGAUCUUGCAAAUAUUCGGACAACUUUCUUUUCGCAGUUCCUUUGAGGCGCACACCUCUACCGCACGUUUGUUGUGAUGGAGAUCCGGGUGGAGAGCGCGGGGAAACAGAGAAGGUAUUGUCCAUCCUGCUGAGUUUUGAUGUAGAAUCGCUGCCCGACAAGGUCAAGUUAGGAAAUGUUUGGUCCCUCUGCUGGGUAUUGAUGUAUGGGAACAUGUCUACUAUCGCCAGUACAAGAACGUCCAACCCGACUACGUCAAAGCCAUCUGCAUCCAGUCUGCCAAAAAUUAGACUAUUCCCCCUCAGAACACACACACUAGCACUUCAUCUUUGCCCCAAAACCUUAUCCCCUCAGACCUUAACUCCCUUAAUGGCUUACAAAAUAUAUUCAUAACUCAAAUGAAGAUGGCUUUCACAUACGGUACCAUGUAGGUGUCAUAUGUCCAGAGAGCAUUUUUAGUCUGCAAAGCUUUUUGUCUGACUGUGCUGCACCAAUAUUAGGCAAAUGUGUUUGAUGUAAUAUGAUCAAAUAUUUAAUUUGAGUUGUAUCUGCUUGUUGUUUUUGUUUAAAGGUCAGUGUAACUCACUUACAUGUAGUGUCUAGGUUGCAGGUAGCCUAGCGGUUAGUGUUGGGCCAGUAACCAAAAUGUUAGUUUGAAUCCACGAGCCGACAAGGUGAAAAAUCUGUCGAUCUGCUCUUGAGCAAGGCACUUAACCCUAAUUGCUCAAGGGUUGCUGUCAAUGGCUGAUCCCUGGAAGUGACCCCACUCUCCAAGGCUGUCUCAGGGACAGUUAGGAUAUGCUAAAAAUACAUUUCCAUUACCCACUUAUACGUGCAGUGAAACAAGACACAUUCAAGCACCCCCUAUUUGAACUUUAAUACCACCAUAAUUAAUCAGCAUACACAAUGUCACACUACAAAUAUUCCGCAAGAUUGAUAGCCACUGUCCUGAUGUUGAAAGGUGUGACCAAAAGCCACAAAUGAAAACAAUUGAUCAAAGAAUAUUGAGAGCUAUAGAGUAUAUCUGAUGGUCAGGGAAGUGGAGUUGCUUAUUGUUUUAAUUUAAACUCAGACAUCCACACACACCAGGUCUGGGGAAACGCCUCUUGGCUUUUGAAAAGUCCAUAAUGAUUGAUAUUCACUGGCAAGAAAGUUUGUUCGGAAACCAUUUUCAUAUUCUACUGAAGGAAAUCCUAUCCAAGCCAUAUGGAUACAAUGAACUUUUUAUUAAUCAUAAACUAUAGAAUCCCUAAUUUCA